GCAAGUAGAGUGGCGAACGGGUGAGUAAUACAUCGGAACAUAUCCAGUAGCGGGGGAUAACCUGUCGAAAGAUAGGCUAAUACCGCAUACGAUCUACGGAUGAAAGCGGGGGACCGCAAGGCCUCGCACUAUUGGAGUGGCCGAUGUCGGAUUAGCUAGUUGGUGGGGUAAAGGCUUACCAAGGCGACGAUCCGUAGCUGGUCUGAGAGGACGAUCAGCCACACUGGAACUGAGACACGGUCCAGACUCC
rnacentral:rRNA from 1 species